CACGCCGUAAACGAUGAGUGCUAAGUGUUGGAGGGUUUCCGCCCUUCAGUGCUGCAGCUAACGCAUUAAGCACUCCGCCUGGGGAGUACGGCCGCAAGGCUGAAACUCAAAGGAAUUGACGGGGGCCCGCACAAGCGGUGGAGCAUGUGGUUUAAUUCGAAGCAACGCGAAGAACCUUACCAGGUCUUGACAUCCCGCUGACCGGUCUGGAGACAGGCCUUUCCCUUCGGGGACAGCGGUGACAGGUGG
rnacentral:rRNA from 1 species